rnacentral:rRNA from 1 species
CGCUGGCNGCAGGCUUAACACAUGCAAGUCGAACGGUAGCAGGUAAGUACUUGUACUUAUGCUGACGAGUGGCGGACGGGUGAGUAAUGCUUGGGGAUCUGGCUUAUGGAGGGGGAUAACGACGGGAAACUGUCGCUAAUACCGCGUAGAAUCGGGAGAUGAAAGUGUGGGACCUUCGGGCCACAUGCCAUAGGAUGAGCCCAAGUGGGAUUAGGUAGUUGGUGGGGUAAUGGCCUACCAAGCCGACGAUCUCUAGCUGGUCUGAGAGGAUGACCAGCCACACCGGGACUGAGACACGGCCCGGACUCCUACGGGAGGCAGCAGUGGGGAAUAUUGCGCAAUGGGGGCAACCCUGACGCAGCCAUGCCGCGUGAAUGAAGAAGGCCUUCGGGUUGUAAAGUUCUUUCGGUGACGAGGAAGGUUGUUGUGUUAAUAGCGCAACAAAUUGACGUUAAUCACAGAAGAAGCACCG